AGUACCUAUAUGGUACUUCGAUUCAAUUAUCUCUCUCAUUAACAAGCUGUUGCAUUUCUCUCUCAUGAAUUAUUAAAUUUCCCCGGAGAGAAAGAUUCUCGAGAAGAAGAAGAAGGAGCUCUACCCCCGGCCGGCAUUUGUACCAGGUAUCUCCAUUUUUCAGUUUCGUUUCAAGGUUUUAGGGAUUCGUUUGUGUGGAGCUAAGUAGUUGAGACCUGAAAUUAGGGUUUACUUUUUUGAUGAUUUCUUAAAACAAAGAAGAACCCCUGGGUGAAGAAACAAGUAGAAGAAGAAAUGGACUUCAUAUUAGCCUGGAUCUUUGAGUUCUUGGCGUAGUUAUUGUAGGUUGAAAUUGAACUAUGGCGACUGACUCACGGGAAGAAAUAAAGAGACUGCAGAAUGUUAUUCUUAGAUUAUCUGCAGAAAUUGGUGGGAAGAAUCAGAAAACGGAAUACAUUGCAAAACAGUUGAAAGAAGGAUCGACGGCACUUAGUGAAAUGAAGGAGCAGACAGAUCAGCUAGAUCAAGCUUAUAAGGAAGAAAACAGAAAUGUGAAGAUGACUAUGCUUGAAAAUCAAAGGCUGGAGCGAGAGAUAGAAACUCAAAGGAGAGAAAUCGAGCAGCAGGUUAAGGAAAUCAAGAAACGAGACGCUCAAUUGGAUUUCAAGAACAAGCAAAUUCUGGUUUUAAGAAUGCUAAAAGAUGUGAAGGAGGAUCCACAAAAGGUAAGCGCUGUGCAAGGGAGGCAUGGAGGAGUGGUCGGGACAAGGUUCAGCUCCAAAUUGGUCUGCACCAGGCUCCACAAAAGGUAAACACUGUGCAAGCAGGGAGGCAUGAAGGAGUGCAAAACAUGAGUAGUGGAGACAAGGUUCAGAUCCAGAUUGAUACGAAUGGGCUGCACAAUGAACUGGAAGAGAAAGAUUAUGAGCUUAGGCGGAUGCGGAUGCAAACCCUUGGCGACAAAGAGCACAGGAGUAACCAUGAACUAGAGGAGGCGCACAAAGUCUCAAUCGAGGUAACAAGUUUAUAAAUUGAUUUAUUCUGCAGGCUUUUCAUCUGUUGCUCGAAAAAAGGAAGUUAUGAUUUUUAAUGUCAUUGUGUCCUAAUGUUGGGAUAAGACGGUUGGAGGAACCGAAUGUGAAUACAUUUCGAGGUACUUGCAAGUUCUCACCUAUGGAUCUGGAAACAAAAUCUGCUGAGUUAUGUCCAUUAUAGCAGAACAAAAUACAAAAUCCAGAGUGGUAUGCUUUUAAGAAUACCACUAUGAAUCAAAACCGAAAUUGGAGAGGAAUAUGAAGAAAAAUCAGUAGAGAUAUUAGAUGAUUGGCGCAUCGAAGAUUGCGAAUUCAGUGAAGAAGAAGAAUGCAAUUCCUUUGAAGAUACGUUCCCUCCAAUUCCACCACCAGAAUCUUCUGUUGGCCCGUGCAACCAUAUGCAAACCAACAGCUCAGAUAUUUCGGUGAUAAUCCCUGAUUCCUAAGUUAAAAAGGGAGAUGAAUGUGUCAAGGGAGAUAUCCAAGGCAAUGAAGGAGUAGAAACUGUAGAUUGCAAUGCCUUUGAAGAUAUGUUUCUUCCAGUAGCACCACCAGAAUGUGUGGUUGAUCCGUGCAGUGAUAUGCUGAACAACUGCUCAGAUCUUUCCUUUGUACUCCCUGAUCCGGAUUGUGAAAUGAUUGAUAUGGAAUGGUUAUAAACCUUUGUUGACGAUUUUAUGUCAGCUGGAGACAUCACUAUGGGCAUAGACUUUUCUGACAAAAAUAAGAAGGAUGACUGGGUGUCUGGUGGAAUGACUGAUACUGUUGUCCUGGACUCGUAUGAUGAGCAAUAACUAGCAGUUUGCCAUCCUAUACUGGACUCUUGGACGAGGAUUUGAUGUAGAGGAGAAUCGGUUUCUUUCUCUUUUAUCCAUUAAACCGCUAAAAAAAAACCGGUAGUCUGUAAAAUUUGCAAAAUUCUUGAUGCUGUUCUUUGCAAUUUUUUGUCUCUGAAACAAUUUAGAUUAAUGAAUAUGAGAAUUCAAAUGACAUGUGUUUCUGUUGUCACUUGUCAGCAACGCUAAAACUCCGAGUUGCUUCUUCCCCAUUCCUCAAGCAGCGGAUUGUAUAACACGAGUAGCCGAGAGAGCUGGUGCACCAGUCAUUUAUCUUUCAACAGAUGCAGCAGAAAGUGAAACUGAUCUUCUUCAGUCACUAAUUGUGGUAAAUGGGAAGGCUGUUCCAGCUCGAAAUAUUGCUGAGAAAUGGGAUGCUUUACUAUACAGGCAUGGCAUAGAAGGAGAUAGUCAGGUUGAAGCUAUGCUGGAUAAGACAAUUUUUGCUAUGGCUAGUGCCUUCAUUGGGGCAUCAGGGUCAACAUUCACCGAGGACAUAUUAAGGCUUUGGAAAGACUGGGGGUCUGCAUCAGUUUGUGAUGAAUAUCUUUGCCACGGCGAGCUACCAAACUUCAUAGCAGACAAUGAAUGAAGAAGAAGAAGAAGAAGAAGAAGUAAUAUAGUUGGCAAAUGAGUUUAAUUGUCGGAAAGAAGAUUGGUCUUCGUAUUCUUUAUGUUCCUCAUUCUAAAAGGAGAAAAGAGAGUACGAAGUUCUGAAGAUGGUUGAUGGUUUUUGCGUGCAGAUGACAGUGCAAUUGGAUGUACCUUUUUUGUGUGUGUAUAACUGUGAAAACACUAUCAUCUAGGCACUGGAAAACCGGUUGUUGUCGAUAGGAGUUGUAUCUCAUUCACUCUCCAUGUAAUGCUGAUCAUUUAUUUACCUCUGUUGUAUGUAACUUUGAGUUCAGCUCCGAAAUUCUUACUGUCCAUGUAAUGCUGAUCAUUUAUUUACUAUCCUGGUUACACCUGCCAGAUGAGUUCAGCUCCGAAA